AGCUUUGUGGUGUAAGAGCACAUAAAAUUGCAAAUUUUAAAGGGAGAAUUAAUUUUCUCCGGGGCUU
rnacentral:tRNA from 1 species